GACGAACGCUGGCGGCGUGCUUAACACAUGCAAGUCGAACGGAAAGGCCCUGCUUUUGUGCGGUGCUCGAGUGGCGAACGGGUGAGUAACACGUGAGUAACCUGCACUUGACUUUGGGAUAACUUCAGGAAACUGGGGCUAAUCCCGGAUAGGAGCUACUGCUGCAUGGUGGGGGUUGGAAAGUUUCGGCGGUUGGGGAUGGACUCGCGGCUUAUCAGCUUGUUGGUUGGGUAGUGGCUUACCAAGGCUUUGACGGGUAGCCGGCCUGAGAGGGUGACCGGCCACACUGGGCCUGAGAUAAGGCCCAGACUCGUACGGGAGGCAAGGGUGGGGAAGAGUGUAUAAUGGGCGGAAGGCUGGUGUAGCAACGCCGUGUGCGGGAAGACGGGCUUCGGGUAGUAAAGCGCUGCCGCCUGAGACGAAGCGUGAGUGACGGUAACGGGUAAAGAAGCACCGGCUAACUACGUG
rnacentral:rRNA from 1 species